rnacentral:rRNA from 1 species
UAUGUGAUCGUCUCUCGCAUAUCAAUAAGCGGAGGAAAAGAAACUAACAAGGAUUCCCCUAGUAACGGCGAGUGAAGCGGGAAGAGCUCAAAUUUGAAAUCUUAAAGGGUUCCCUUUACGAAUUGUAGUUUAAAGAAGUGUUUUCUGUUGAGGUUUUGGUAAAAGUUCUUUGGAAUAGGACAUCAUAGAGGGUGAGAAUCCCGUAUUUGACCUUUACUUUCAACUUUGUGAUACACUUUCAAAGAGUCGGAUUGUUUGGGAAUGCAGUCCAAAAUGGGUGGUAAAUUUCAUCUAAAGCUAAAUAUUGGCGAGAGACCGAUAGCGAACAAGUACCGUGAGGGAAAGAUGAAAAGAACUUUGAAAAGAGAGUUAAACAGUACGUGAAAUUGUCAAAAGGGAAGCGUUUGACACCAGUGUUGUUUUUCUGAAAAUCAAUUAAAGAACUGUUUAUGCUAAGCUGUUUAGACUUUAUCAGCUAUCUGUUUAGUUUUGAGCUUUUCUUUAAUGCACUUUUCAGUUAACAAGUCAACAUCAAUUUCUUUUGCUGUAAAAAAGCUUGAGGAAGGUGGCUUGAGAUUCGUCUUAAGUGUUUAUAGCCUCUUGCCUAUGCAGUCGGAGAGAUUGAGGUCUGCAGCGUAGAUCCUUCGGGGCUAAAUGCAUUUGUGCUAAGUUAUAGCAUUUUAUAGACAACUUGUUGACUAUGAUUUGUCUUGUAGCUUACUCGCUUAUGUUAUUUUACCUACGCUUAGGAUGUUGAUAUGCAUGACUGAUAU